rnacentral:lncRNA from 1 species
UAAAGAACACAAACCACAAGCAGAGACUCGGAGAAGACGAGGCACGACCACUGUGACGUCACAUCCCUUAAUAAUUAUAUUUUUACACUAUACACGUUUCACAACUAUAAUUUGAACACCUGUGUGCCAUAAAUAAAUAUAUUUUUACACUAUACACAAGUGAAUCAUGUUGUGUCAUUUACAUGACGGGUAAAUUAAAUGAACAUGUCUUGAUUAGGUACGACAUACUUUGGACAAGGAAGAGACCUGCAGAUAAAUAACACAAUUAAACAAACAAGUACUGAAAUAUAAGUGUUCCGCAUUAAGCUUGCUAGUAAGGAAAAUAUCAGGAGAUGGCUUGCUAGCUUUCACCUCUAGAUCACCCCCAUGGCAACUUGAUACAUCAGAGCAAGAAAACAUUCCCCAAUGGUUACAAACCUUCGGUGCAAAAUGACAUUCAUGGGAUCUGAAGACAUCACUAAGAAAUAUCAGGUUCUAUAUGAGUCUGACUUAUUAAAGAACAGAGAGCAAUGAAGAAAAGUGCAGUACAUUAAAUCAAGGCCAAAUGAUACAUUGCAUGCAUCAGCGAGCAGAAAAAUAAAUGGUGUCUAAUAUUAUAUUUUCCCCUUCCAAUAGAGAGACUCCUUCUAUAUGUUUAACCAGUGAUAAUUCCGGUUACACCAAAUAAACAUAGUUCUAAAUGCUACCAACAUUUUUUAUGAAACAAAGGACAACCAAAAUUAACUCCCCUCGCAUGGAAACUUGAUGUCCUUUCAAUUCUGAAAUUCCACCAAAGGUAAGCAUACAAUAAUUUUAUAGUGUAUAAUUAUACAAAAGAAGAACAUGUUACGUGUGUAGAUAGCGCAAGGUGGCAUAUUAUCAUUGAGAGCAUAUAUUAGCACAUAGUGUGAUGAAAAUUGGAACCAUAUGUACUGUCAGCAUGUCUUUCUCCUUAUUCUGUAUAUCAUCAUUUCCUCUACACUUGACAUGAUAGCUUGAGAAAAAAAAGAUGAGUAUCCAGAUAUGUACAUAGUUAUGGCUAGAUUCCUUGUUUUGUCCAAGAAAGAUAAGUCAUGAGCCCAUCAUCUUAUUACAGCAAGGCACAUCUCUAUCAGUGGUGCAAGAGGUGUAAAUUUUAUAUUUUCUUUUCAAGAAAAAACUCCUGGCAAUAUUAAACAUCAUGAUGUAACAAAUUAAAAAUAUUAGUGUUAACAUAGGUUAAUAUCUAUUACUUAUGUGUGGUGUAGUUCAAUAAACCCUGAAAAAAAAUUGAAUUAUUCCUAAUUAUCACCAUUAGAUCUAGGUCAAUAAAAGUUGUAGUCACAGCCUGAGCCAGAACUUUGGAUUGAGAAGGGAUUGGGAAACCCUCAAAGGAAGGAAGAAGCUCACCAAAACACAGUUACAGGCCCCAACUAUCUCAACCUUGCGCACAAAAUGGCUUAAUGACUCAUAUGGGAUCAACAAGAGUGCCAGUCGCGUAAAGCUUGUUCAGAUUGCCAAGGCCGUCCACCUGAGAGCAAGACAAAAACUUAAAAUUAGGAGUCCGAAUGUGGUUAGACAAGCUAUACUAAUUUCAUUUUGAUUUUGAUCCGACAUGUGCAUUAAACAGAGCAUGGACCACGAUUGAACAGAGCAACCACUGCAAAAUAAAUGUAUAACAAGAGCUGGCAGCAUCAACAUGUAAUAGGCAUGUAUAUUUAUCUACGGGUUUUGUCGCUAGUGAACGCAUACAGUUGCAAUUGCACUUAUGCAACCUAAAGGCGAAAGAAAAAAACCACUUGUUAACUCAAAAGACUGAAAAAGUCGUAACAAAAGAAGAAAAAAACAGCCUUCCUAAGUUCUCUAGUUGGGUGAAAAAAAAACAGCUAUUCUAAAAGUGAGCACCAGAUUCCAGUAUGUAUCAUGCAGUUUUCUGUAUAUGGUUCACACAUGAAAAAGGGAUUUUGGCCAGUGCUAGGACAUGGCAUUUGUUGCCUGAUAAAAGAUUAGUUCAUGCUAUCUUCAGGACAAAGUGAGCACGUGAGUUACCAGACGAGAAGGGGAGGCCAUGAGUAAAGGUGGACUGAAACUUCUUGCUCGCUUGGAGCUUCAUGAAUCUGAUCCAUAGAAAAUUAUGUAAUCAUUUGAAAUUAGUAUACUAAAAAAAUUGAAGGUACAUUGCAGAAACGACACAUUAGCAAAAUUGAGUAAUGCAAAACCGAACCCACCAUAGGAGAAGCAUAGAAAAAAAAUCAUCUUCUGAACCCACCUACAGAUCCAAUUUAUAUGCAUCAUGCCAUGGAAUUACCGAAUGCAUGGCCGCAGCCGCUGGCUGCAAUGUCGACCCAAUGGUGCUUGUCUGGGCGAAGUACAAGGCCAUUGGGCUCGUCGCCCGGGAGUUCUGCAACCCACAUCAGUUUCUAUGACUAUAGUUUCUACUAUUGUACUCUUUGUAGUUUUUAAUGCAUAAAUUAAUCUAAUGUUGGGAGCUUUCCAAGGACUAACUAAGACAAUCAGAAUCGGAGAGGAGAGUUUCUCAACAAAAAAAGAAUUAGAGGAGAGUCAACUAACCUUCCUUUCUUGCUUCGUCACCCCCUCAUGGGUUAUGAGCUAUGACCACCAUGAUGCCGGCCGUGCGUCCGAGCACCUGUGGUCUGUACAUCGACGACCUGCCCUUUUCUCAUUUUUUGGUCACCGAAGAGUUCGAUCGAUCAGAAACAUGGAAGGGCGAGAGUAGUCAUGUUCCUGCCCUAUGUGUGUUUUCUUUGCGCGAAAGUUCCUGUUUCAGUCAGAGAGGUAGAACAAUCAGAAAAUGAGAAGGUCUUUCACUUCCUUACAGAAUGAAAUUUCUGUCUUGCAAGUUUACAAAGUCAUCAAGUUAAGCACUUACGAUAAAAUUAUCUGACUCAGAAAGCUGAUAUCACUCAUACAAAAAAACAUGUUAUACAAUAUUGAGUUUUGACAUAGCUAUCAUAAUAGAUCUAUGCAAAAAUGUUCAGGUGCACGCAGGACAGCUAUACAAUUUUAGCAAGAAUAACAAUUUUACAUGAAAAAUGCCUGCAAGCCUAAAAGCCCAUUAUGUAAUUCCAGUACUGAAUCAUUCAGGCCCUUGUAAUGUUAUUUGAGAUUAGGUUCAUAAUAUUUGAAGGUGCGUGGUAAAGAAAGGAAAAUAACAUUACUUCCAAUGAAAUACUCUCCACAUUGUUCGUACUUGCAUUACUAUCAUGUUGGCAUGGACAUUGACAGACUGAAUCAAUUAGCUUGUAAAAUUUAUGAAUAGAUUCGGUUCUCUUCCUCUUCAUGUCUACAUGGAUGAAUCUGAAAUAUUCUAAUUAGUUUCUAUAAUUAGUUCCUAUGGCUAUAGUUUCUACUAUUGUACUCUUUAUAGUUUUUAAUGCAUAAAUUAAUCUAAUGUUGGGAGAUUUCCAAGGACUAACUAAGACAACCAGAAUUGGAGAGGAGAGUUUCUCAGCAAAAAAAGGAAUUAGAGGAGAGUCAACUAACCUUCCUUUCUUGCUUGGUCACCACCUCAUGGGUUAUGAGUUAUGACGACCAUGAUGCCGGCCGUGCGUCCGAGCACCUGUGGUCUGUACAUCGACGGCCUGCCUUUUUCUCAUUUUCUGGUCACCGAAGAGUUCGAUCGAUCAAAAACUUGGAAGGGGAAGAGUAGUCAUGUUCCUGCCCUGUGUGUGUUUUCUUUGCGCAAAAGUUCC